GUGUUGGCCUGGGCAGCACGUAUACUAAAGUUGGAAUGACACAGAGAAGAUUAGCAUGGCCCCUGCGCAAGGAUGAUGUGCAAAUUCGUGACAAGUUCCAUAUUUUU
ensembl:snRNA RNU6-1072P RNA, U6 small nuclear 1072, pseudogene